rnacentral:tRNA from 1 species
GGGCGCAUAGCUCAGCGGUAGAGCACUAUCUUGACAUGGUAGGGGUCACAGGUUCAAUCCCUGUUGUGCCCA